rnacentral:sRNA from 1 species
CCCUAGCCCCGAUGGGAACGGCAUCCUUUUUUGGCAUUGCGAUGGAAUCGUGAGUUCAAAAUGCUUCACGUCGCUCGCAAUGACAAAAAAGAUAUAGUGGACAGCGGGAUUAAGC